GACGAACGCUGGCGGCGCGCCUAACACAUGCAAGUCGAACGGUGAAGAGGAGCUUGCUCCUCGGAUCAGUGGCGGACGGGUGAGUAACGCGUGAGGAGCUGUCCUAUGCAGGGGGACAACAGCUGGAAACGGCUGCUAAUACCCCAUAAGCCGAGAGGUAAAAGGAUCAAUCCGGCAGAGGAGGUACUCGCGUCCUAUCAGCUAGUAGGUGAGGUAACGGCUCACCUAGGCGAAGACGGUAGCCGGCCUGAGAGGGCGAACGGCCACACUGGAACUGAGA
rnacentral:rRNA from 1 species